rnacentral:rRNA from 1 species
GGAUUAGAUACCCUGGUAGUCCAUGCCCUAAACGAUGUCUACUAGUUGUCGGGUUUUAAUUAACUUGGUAACGCAGCUAACGCGUGAAGUAGACCGCCUGGGGAGUACGGUCGCAAGACUAAAACUCAAAUGAAUUGACGGGGGCCCGCACAAGCGGUGGAGCAUGUGGUUUAAUUCGAAGCAACGCGAAGAACCUUACCAAAUCUUGACAUCCUCUGACCCCUCUAGAGAUAGAGUUUUCCCCUUCGGGGGACAGAGUGACAGGUGGUGCAUGGUUGUCGUCAGCUCGUGUCGUGAGAUGUUGGGUUAAGUCCCGCAACGAGCGCAACCCUCGUUCUAUGUUGCCAGCACGUUAUGGUGGGGACUCAUAGGAGACUGCCGGGGUCAACUCGGAGGAAGGUGGGGAUGACGUCAAGUCAUCAUGCCCCUUAUGUCCAGGGCUUCACGCAUGCUACAAUGGCCGGUACAAAGGGCUGCGAUCCCGUAAGGGGGAGCGAAUCCCAAAAAGCCGGUCUCAGUUCGGAUUGGGGUCUGCAACUCGACCCCAUGAAUUCGGAGUCGCUAGUAAUCGCACAUCAGCAACGCUGCGGUGAAUACGUUCCCGGGCCUUGUACACACCGCCCGUCACGUCACGAAAGUCGGCAACACCCGAAGCCGGUGGCCCAACCCUUGUGGAGGGAGCCGUCGAAGGUGGGGCUGGCGAUUGGGACGAAGUCGAAACAAGG